rnacentral:rRNA from 1 species
GUGGGGAAUAUUGGACAAUGGGGGGAACCCUGAUCCAGCCAUGCCGCGUGUGUGAAGAAGGCCUUUUGGUUGUAAAGCACUUUAAGCGAGGAGGAGGCUACCGAGAUUAAUACUCUUGGAUAGUGGACGUUACUCGCAGAAUAAGCACCGGCUAACUCUGUGCCAGCAGCCGCGGUAAUACAGAGGGUGCAAGCGUUAAUCGGAUUUACUGGGCGUAAAGCGCGCGUAGGUGGCCAAUUAAGUCAAAUGUGAAAUCCCCGAGCUUAACUUGGGAAUUGCAUUCGAUACUGGUUGGCUAGAGUAUGGGAGAGGAUGGUAGAAUUCCAGGUGUAGCGGUGAAAUGCGUAGAGAUCUGGAGGAAUACCGAUGGCGAAGGCAGCCAUCUGGCCUAAUACUGACACUGAGGUGCGAAAGCAUGGGAAGCAAACAGGAUUAGAAACCCUAGUAGUCC